rnacentral:rRNA from 1 species
CCUAGGGGAGGCAGCCGGGGGGAAUAUUGCGCAGUGGGCAAAAGCCUGACCCAGCGACGCCGCGUGGGGGAUGACCGCCUUCGGGUUGAAACCCUCUUUCAUGGGGGACGAUCCAAAAGUGACGGUACCUGCAGAAGAAGCACCGGUCAACUACGUGCCAUCAGCCGCGGUAAUGCAUAGGGUGCAAGCGUUGUCCGGAACUAUUGCGUGUAAAGAUCUCGUACGCGGUUUGUUGCGUCCGUUGUGAAAUCCCGACGCUCAACCUCGGGUCUGCACUCCAUACGAGCAAACUAGAGUGCUGCAGGGGAGACUGGAAUUCCUGGUGUAGCGGUGAAAUGCCCGUAUAUCACGAUGAACACCGGUGGCGAAGGCGGCUCUCUGGUCAACACCUGACGCUGAGGAUCUAAAGCUUGUGGAGCGAACAUGAUUAUGUACCCUGGUAGUCCACGCCCUACCGUUGGGCGCCUGGUGUGGGGAUCAUUCCACGAGUUCCGCGCCGCACCUAACGCAUUACGCGCCCCGCCUGGUGAGUACGGCCGCAACGCUCACACUCAAAGGAAUUGACGGGGGCCCGCACGAACUGCGGAGCAUGUUGCUUCAUUCUAUGCCCCGCGAAGAACCUUA